rnacentral:lncRNA from 1 species
AUAAAAUACAAUUGAAAUAAAACUUUAACAAAGCUUGAAACAGCCUAAUUAUUACCAGAGAUAAAACAUUUAUUCCACAUUACAUUUUGUAAAGAAUAUUUAUUCAUUUAUGUUAUGUAUAUUUACCUUGUAUUAACCCCACAGACCGGUUGUAUGUUCCAGCUAUUCCAAUAUAACUUCAGUUUUCUGUCUAUAUAUUGGGUCAUCCGAUAAAUAAUGCGGUUUUUUAUAAAUUGUAUGAACUAAAAGUCGGGGCGGGACGGGAUAAACUACCUGCAUCAACUUGCUAUAAAAGCAGGUAGUAAUUAUACUUUGUACUUAUUCUUAGUGCAAGUUUUGAAGAGUUCUGUUCGAUUUUAACAGUUAUUUUUUUCAAAACUAUAAUAGAAGUGACAAAGGAGAAUAUUCAGCAUAUUUUGCUUUAUGAGUUCAAUAAAGGCUACAACGCAACAGAAAGUUCAAGGAAUAUUAAUGCAGUAUACGGGAAGUGGAAAAUAAGCGUAAGCCAGUGUCAACGGUGGUUCCAGAAAUUCAAAGUCGGAAACUACAGCCUAGAAGACGAGCCUCAUUCUGGAAGCUCUGUAGAGCUCUACGAGGACGUCCUGCAAACCCUGGUGGAACAAAAUCCGUUCGUAAAUAAUAUGAAUUCUCUAGACGAGGUCAGAACAGUACUGGAGGAGUAUUUUUCUUCACGGAGAAGUGUAUUUUGGUAAAGGGGCCUUGCAAGUCUAGCAGAUAGAUGGAAGAGCAUUGUAGAAAAUGAAUGAGAGUAUAUUUUAGAUUUUAAAAAAUACUUUGUUUAUCUUAAUUUAGAAAAAUAAAAGAAGUAUAAAAAAAACUCACAUUAUUUAUGGGAUGACCCAAUAUUUUCCUUUUAUUCUAAUCCCGGCAAAUUCCUUUCUCUGUUCAAAUGUUUCGUUGCCGGAUACACAAGUUUUACUUUAUUAUUUAAAAAAAAAUUAAUGCAAAUAAACCGACGUUUAAACUGUCGGAAUUUGUUUUAACGGGAAAUAUUCCUUAAAAUGAAAAAAAAUAAAAAAGAGAACGUCGAGGUUAAUAAAAAGCGCGGGUAAACCAUUAAUCAAUAAUACGGAGAAAGAUGAUUAACUGUAACAUCUCUGCCUUCCCGUUUUCGUCCAUAACGUUUUCCGGUGUAUGUUGGUACCAAGCGCCCGUUAUCUCAUAUCCAUACUUCUGGCACAGUAGCCAGUGGAGGUUUGGGGCUACUUUGUCGUGCUUGCGCUUGUACUCUUUCUGCGUAAGAUGUGAAUCACGCUUUCGACCUUCUUCCUACACAUUCUUUUCAUUCUGAGUUUAACUCCGGCCGGGGUCAGCUCUCCUUUUCUGUGGUUGGUAAAAUAAGGCACCAGUCAAAUCCUGGGAUCGAUGUUAUCAACUAAUCUCCUUUCAGUUCGAUAUUUGAGAGAUGAGGAAUUCUGUACAUUAUUUACAUGAUUUACAUUUGACGGAUAUUUGUCCUCAACCACUAUGCCAUAUACCUACGGGCAUAAGGCGUAGUGGUUAAGAGCGCGGGCCACAAACCCCAAGAUUCCAAGAUUCCAGGCAGUGACCUGAAUAAUAAUAAUAAUAAUAAUAAUAAUAAUAAUAAUAAUAAUAAUAAUAAUAAUAAUAACAACAACAUCGGACAAAUACCUUAGCAAUGAGAACCCAGGUUCGAAAUUUCCCCAAGACACCUGAUGAAGGCUGGGGAGUAUAUCAGCCGAAACGUUGUGUUAGCAACAAACAAGAUGAGGACAAACAUCCAUCAAAUGUAAAUAAUGUACAUAAUUCCUCAUCUCUAAUCCCCUUUCAUUAAAUUUACGGAAUGUUGGCCUCGAACUCUAAAUUACAAGCCAAUUUUAAGAUAGUAAGAUGGUAGAAUCGUUAGAGCAGCCACAUUUUCUUUUUUCCUUCAUUUUUUUUUUUCACACUUUGUAUUUUGAGUCCAAUUUCUAUCGGAAUCAGCUUUGCAUUUCAUCCUUCCAGAGUUAAGUAUUGUGGUCGACCGUACCGACUAACCCCUCUCCUCUAAAUUGCUAGCACGUGCCCAUAUCAGAAACAACUAUUAUUCAUGUUGCUUCAGCAGCUUUUGUACGCGUUCCUACCGCUCGUUCCGAUGCACAGCAUUCUCCUCUGGACACGAUGAAUAACAAUUCUUUAUUGCUUCGGAAUCAGUAUCGUUUAUCUUUCGCCCGUUGAAUCAUUAGACUGCGGCCAUGCUGAGGCACAGCCCUUGAAGUAUUUUAGUCGAACGAAUAGAACCCUGAGCUUAUUUUCCAAGCUUCAUACGCAUUCUAUCGGUCUCUUUUGUCGAAUCGCUAAGUUUCGGGGACGUAAACACACUAACACCGGUUGUCAAGCAGUGUUGGGGGACAAAUACACACACACACACACACACACACACACACACACACACACACACACACACACACACACAAUCACAUACAUAUACGACGGACUUCUUUCAGUUUGCGUCUACUAAAUCUACUCACAAGGUUCUAGUCGGCCCGAGGCUAUAGCAGAAGACAUUUACCCUAGAUACCACGCAGUGACAGUGAACCCGGAAUCUUGUGGUUGGAAACCAGACUUCAUACCACACAACCACGUCUAUUAUAAUUUAAGUAUAUAUACCGUUAAAAACCUUCUAAACUAUGGUAUUCAUCUUGAGAAAGCAUCUCUUAUAGACAAAUAAUGUUAAAAACACGGAAAUAUAUCAGGAGUAGACGAAAAUCAUUCAGCAGCGGUUGUGGCUUUGCUAACUCGGGAUUUCUGCUAAUAUAUUUCUGUUGUUUGUUUUUUUUUUCUUAACUCUAUACCUCUAUAAGAGAUGUUUUGCCAAGACCAAUACCACAAUCUAUAUCCUUUGAGUAUGAUAUACAGAUCACUAAUUUGAACUAAUUCUGCUUCUGUGGUUAAUAACGAAACCAUGGUCUUAAUUCGUGGUUUUGAUUUUCGGACCGGGUGCUGCGCUGUUUUCUUGAGAGCAAAUCACUUCAUUUCGUGUUGUUCCAGUCCACUUAGUUGAAGAUGAGGUGAGUUCCAGUAAUAGCUGGGGAGUCAACCCUGCGAAGGACCGACGUCCCGUACAGUGAGUGGCGGGGGAGUGUUGUAACCUCAGUCACUUAUAGGCCGCAGAAACCAAGAUAACUUCAACCUUGCGAGUUUUGGGGUUCAUAAAGCUAGCUCAAAGUUUCAAUGCCUCUCCACACAUCUAUUUCUCUCCCUCCCACCUCUCUCUCUCUCUCUCCCCCCCUCUCUCUCUCUCUCUCUCUCUCUCUCUCUGUUCUGAUAUGAUUUAUGUCCUUUUAAUCCGAUUCGAACGGGAACCGCCUAUUGAGUAAAUCUCAUUGUAUUAUGGGUUUAAAUUCUGGCGAUAAAUGGAACGAAAUUAAGCAUUAACGGGACAUUCCCUUUCUUUGCGCUAAUACUUCUGCCUCCUCAUUAUCUUUAACUGCGUAAUUUCAAAACUGACAUUUACAUAACACAUUUUGGUACUAUGGAACAUGUAUAAUGCAAAUUGCUUAGUUUUAAACGAAAUAAAUAAUGUUAUAAACAGAGGUAACAGUCGUAAUCCACAUGCAAUUGGGACAUUAAAGCAAUUAUGAAGAAUAGAUGUUAAAAUGCUAUGUCGUUUUUUUAUCAGGAUUCUGUUUAGUAUAUACAUUCAUACAUCUAUACACACAUUACAGACACACUGACAUGCACAUACAUACAUACAUACAUACAUACAUACAUACAUACAUACAUACAUACAUACAUACUCACCGAUACAUGCAUACAUACAUACAUACAUACAUACAUACAUACAUACAUACAUACAUACUCACCGAUACAUGCAUACAUACAUACAUACAUACAUACAUACAUACAUACAUACAUACAUACACACACAAACAUAUACAAGCAUACACAUUCAGACACACAGACACGUACGUACGUACACGAACAUACAUAUAUAUAUAUACAAAGUCAGACACACAUAUACACAUACAUUCAUACUUACACAUAAACAUACAUACUUGCACAUAUACCUACACGUACAUGCAUAAAAGCACACGUACAUAUAUAUACGCACACAGAUACACACACUCAUCCACAUGCAUACAUGCACACGCGCAUAUAUACGCGGAUAUAUAUUCAUAUAUAUCUAUCUAUAUAUAUAUACACACACAUACACAUAUGUAUACAUAUACUCACAUACAUACACACUUAUAUACAUACAUGCGCACACAUACGUAUAUACAUGCACACAUACAUACAUAUAUACACAUACAUCUAUACACACACACUCACACACGCGUACAUAUACACAUACACACAUACAUAAACAUACAUACACAUAUACAUGUAUAUGCAUACACGCAUAAACACCUACGCACACACACACGUGCGCGCAAUCAUCUAAUAUUUAUAUAACUUCAUUAUAUCAGUCACAU